rnacentral:rRNA from 1 species
AACGAACGCUGGCGGCAUGCCUAACACAUGCAAGUCGAACGAAACCUUCGGGUCUAGUGGCGCAUGGGUGCGUAACGCGUGGGAACCUGCCCUUAGGUUUGGAAUAACUCCCCGAAUGGGGUGCUAAUACCGGAUAAUGUCUUCGGACCAAAGAUUUAUCGCACUUGGAUGGGCCCGCGUUGGAUUAGCUGGUUGGUAGGGUAAAAGCCUACCAAGGGGAGGAACCAUAGCUGGGUUGAGAGGAUGGUCAGCGACACUGGGAGUAGGACACGGCCCAGACUCCUACGGGAGGGGGGAGUGGGGGAUAUUGGAAAGUGGGGGGAGGGCUGAAGGAGCAAUGCCGGGUGAGUGAUGAAGGCCUUGGGGUUGUAAAGCUCUUUUACCCGGGAUGAUAAUGACGGUACCGGGAGAAUAAGCACCGGCUAACUCCGUG